rnacentral:rRNA from 1 species
CAGCAGCCGCGGUAAAACGGAGGGUGCAAGCGUUACUCGGAAUCACUGGGCGUAAAGGACGCGUAGGCGGAUUAUCAAGUCUCUUGUGAAAUCUAACGGCUUAACCGUUAAACUGCUUGGGAAACUGAUAACCUAGAGUAAGGGAGAGGCAGAUGGAAUUCUUGGUGUAGGGGUAAAAUCCGUAGAUAUCAAGAAGAAUACCUAUUGCGAAGGCGAUCUGCUGGAACUUAACUGACGCUAAUGCGUGAAAGCGUGGGGAGCAAACAGGAUUAGAUACCCCAGUAGUCCCUGUCUCUUAUAC